rnacentral:rRNA from 1 species
GAAGGUGGCAAGCGUUGUUCGGAUUUACUGGGCGUACAGGGAGCGUAGGCGGUUCGGUAAGCCCUCUGUGAAAUCUCCAGGCUUAACCUGGAACAGUCGGAGGGGACUGCUGGGCUAGAGGACGGGAGAGGAGCGCGGAAUUCCCGGUGUAGCGGUGAAAUGCGUAGAGAUCGGGAGGAAGGCCGGUGGCGAAGGCGGCGCUCUGGAACGUUUCUGACGCUGAGGCUCGAAAGCGUGGGGAGCAAACAGGAUUAGAUACCCUGGUAGUCCACGCCUUAAACUAUGAAUACUAAGUGUCGGCGGGUUACCGCCGGUGCCGCAGCUAACGCAUUAAGUAUUCCGCCUGGGAAGUACGGCCGCAAGGUUG